GUCCCCAUCGUCUAGCCUGGUCCAGGACGGCGGCCUUUCACGCCGUUAACAGGGGUUCAAAUCCCCUUGGGGACGCCA
rnacentral:tRNA from 6 species